rnacentral:lncRNA from 1 species
UCUCUCGUAUUUUUCUCUCUCAUGUUUUAAUUAAUUGUGUGUAGAAAGUAAAAGUACGGAUUAAGAGGAGAAGAUCAGUAUGAAGGUGAAGACCAGUUCUCUCUUUUUAAUUAUAUAUCAUCUUUCUCUGUUUGGCAUUGUUUUUUAGUGUGCAUGGAUACAUUUCUCGUGUGUGUAUAUCAAAUAUAUACAUGUGUGAGUAAUUGAUCGAUGGGAUGAAUAUAUUAAUAGAUAAAGGGGUGGAAAUGAAAAGAAAAGGGAUGUGCCUGGCUCCCUGUAUGCCACAUGUAG